rnacentral:rRNA from 1 species
GACGAACGCUGGCGGCGUGCUUAACACAUGCAAGUCGAACGCUGAAGCUCAGCUUUUGUUGGGUGGAUGAGUGGCGAACGGGUGAGUAACACGUGAGUAACCUGCCUCCUUCUUUGGGAUAACGCCCGGAAACGGGUGCUAAUACUGGAUAUUCACUGGUCUUCGCAUGGGGGUUGGUGGAAAGGGUUUUUCUGGUGGGGGAUGGGCUCGCGGCCUAUCAGCUUGUUGGUGGGGUGAUGGCCUACCAAGGCUUUGACGGGUAGCCGGCCUGAGAGGGUGACCGGUCACAUUGGGACUGAGAUACGGCCCAGACUCCUACGGGAGGCAGCAGUGGGGAAUAUUGCACAAUGGGCGCAAGCCUGAUGCAGCGACGCCGCGUGAGGGAUGGAGGCCUUCGGGUUGUGAACCUCUUUCGCUCAUGGUCAAGCCGCAACAAUGGUUGUGGUGAGGGUAGUGGAUAAAGAAGCGCCGGCUAACUACGUG